rnacentral:rRNA from 1 species
AAAUUGAAGAGUUUGAUCAUGGCUCAGAUUGAACGCUGGCGGCAGGCCUAACACAUGCAAGUCGAACGGUAGCACAGAGGAGCUUGCUCCUUGGGUGACGAGUGGCGGACGGGUGAGUAAUGUCUGGGAAACUGCCCGAUGGAGGGGGAUAACUACUGGAAACGGUAGCUAAUACCGCAUAACGUCGCAAGACCAAAGAGGGGGACCUUCGGGCCUCUUGCCAUCGGAUGUGCCCAGAUGGGAUUAGCUAGUAGGUGGGGUAACGGCUCACCUAGGCGACGAUCCCUAGCUGGUCUGAGAGGAUGACCAGCCACACUGGAACUGAGACACGGUCCAGACUCCUACGGGAGGCAGCAGUGGGGAAUAUUGCACAAUGGGCGCAAGCCUGAUGCAGCCAUGCCGCGUGUAUGAAGAAGGCCUUCGGGUUGUAAAGUACUUUCAGCGAGGAGGAAGGCGUU